rnacentral:sRNA from 1 species
UACUCAGUAGCCGUAUGCAAUCCAUAGA